rnacentral:rRNA from 1 species
UACGUAGGGUGCAAGCGUUAAUCGGAAUUACUGGGCGUAAAGCGUGCGCAGGCGGUUUUGUAAGUCUGUCGUGAAAGCCCCGGGCUCAACCUGGGAAUUGCGAUGGAGACUGCAAGGCUUGAAUCUGGCAGAGGGGGGUAGAAUUCCACGUGUAGCAGUGAAAUGCGUAGAGAUGUGGAGGAACACCGAUGGCGAAGGCAGCCCCCUGGGUCAAGAUUGACGCUCAUGCACGAAAGCGUGGGGGGCAAACAGG